ACAACCUCAACUCCUUCUUCAUUGCGGAGAAAGAGUUGGAUUUGAGCAUUUCCACGAGGGUUCGCCUUGGAGGAUUGCUUGAAAUAUGAGGUUCGGCCGGCAGUUGCCUGGGCUACAAGCAUUUCAUACUUAAUCCCGUCAAACGGAUUAUAUCCUUUGCUGCAGCCAACAUACAGGGUAACUUUGCCAGUGUUCCGACUGAUGCAGGAAAGUUGAGAACUUUGGUUCUCUUCUAA
rnacentral:misc_RNA from 1 species